UCCUACGGGAGGCAGCAGUAGGGAAUCUUCCGCAAUGGGCGAAAGCCUGACGGAGCAACGCCGCGUGAGUGAUGAAGGUCUUCGGAUCGUAAAACUCUGUUAUUAGGGAAGAACAUAUGUGUAAGUAACUGUGCACAUCUUGACGGUACCUAAUCAGAAAGCCACGGCUAACUACGUGCCAGCAGCCGCGGUAAUACGUAGGUGGCAAGCGUUAUCCGGAAUUAUUGGGCGUAAAGCGCGCGUAGGCGGUUUUUUAAGUCUGAUGUGAAAGCCCACGGCUCAACCGUGGAGGGUCAUUGGAAACUGGAAAACUUGAGUGCAGAAGAGGAAAGUGGAAUUCCAUGUGUAGCGGUGAAAUGCGCAGAGAUAUGGAGGAACACCAGUGGCGAAGGCGACUUUCUGGUCUGUAACUGACGCUGAUGUGCGAAAGCGUGGGGAUCAAACAGGAUUAGAUACCCUGGUAGUCCACGCCGUAAACGA
rnacentral:rRNA from 1 species